ACCACAGGAAUAAAAUAUAUUCUUCAAUGAUAUUCUCCUCUUCAGACUCUGGGUGAAGCUCUGGUAGGAAAGGAAAGCUGAAUUAAGCGAUGUGAAAUACGUUUUAUUUAUUUAUUUGAGAGAGAGAGAAUGAGAGACAGAGAGCAUGAGAGGGAGGAGGGUCAGAGGGAGAAGCAGACUCCCCACCAAGCAGGGAGCCCGCCCGAUGCGGGACUCGAUCCCGGGACUCCAGGAUCAUGACCCGAGCCAAAGGCAGUCGCUUAACCAACUGAGCCACCCAGGCGCCCCAUCUCAGAACCCACCACAAUGCAUGGACCAUCAAGUCAGGGUGAGAGACUAAGGGUUUUAAGAACAUAGCUCAACCCUGGAGCCCACACGGCUGCCGCCAGCAAAAGCAAACUGUGUCCCUGGAGCUGAGUGGCCAGGAGGCCCACCUGCACCAGCUGAGCACAUCACUGCCGCCCCACAGGAGCUGGGUGCUGACCUGCCACGUGUGACCCGAGAGCUGCUGUCAGUCCCAGGUCCGGAGCCCGGAGCGCCUUCAAAGAUGUUUACAUGGAUCAGGAAAGUUUUCAUUCGGAAAGGCCAUUGAACACUGCUGUAUGAUUAAUAUGCCAGAAAGCAAAGAGGCCUCAGAAACAUAGCAUGCUGAUCAAGGAACCCAUUACUCAGAAAUCAGAGCCCCUGGAUUGCCAAAAGGAUAAUUAUACUUAAAAGCAAGAGAAGCUCAAACUACACCAGCUGUGGGGAUGAUUCUUACGUGUGUGUGUGUGUGUGUGUGUUUGUGUGUUUAAAUCAGAGCUAUUCAUUUGAAGGAUGCAUGAUUCCAAGCAGAAGGACACCAUGAACACAGCCCAAAUCAUGGAACAGCGAAUGGAAUGGAAAAAGAGAAAACAGGCAUUUUCAUAGUUCAUCAUUCAAUGGCCUCGAAACAUGUAUUUUCUGAAAUGCAAAGAACAGAUCAGCAGAGAACCUUUCAAACUUGCUGCCAAGAUUUUACCUCCGACCACUACCGUAAGGCUCACCAAAAAUCUCCCAUGCAAACAGCCCACAUGCAGCCAGCCAUGCUUUAAGAACUCCCAGAAGCAGCCGCUGGGACGUGGCCGUGAACAACGUGGCCGGAAGCGCACGGACAGAAGU